AAGGGAGACCUAAUUCGGGUAGAAGACGAAAAAAUAGUAGUCGAAACCAAGAAUCAAUCCCAAAAGGUCGGAACGAGGUAUGUGGCUUUCAAACUAGGUUCUGGGUUCACAAAAGACCUGAAUCAGGAACAAGGGCUAUUAGCUCAGGUGGUUAGAGCGCACCCCUGAUAAGGGUGAGGUCCCUGGUUCGAGUCCAGGAUGGCCCACCUGCACAGGUGGCAAAAACAAGAGAAACGAGGAAUCAGCACCUUAUCUUACUUACACAGUAAGAGAGAAUGCUGGCUCUGAGUAAAGAGUCCAGAGGAACCUUGAAAACUGCAUAGAGCUAGGUGAAAAAGCCAAAAAAGAAGACCGCAA
rnacentral:tRNA from 1 species